GCUCCAUGUGUGUUCUGUAAUCGGAGGACUCCCUUAUGAUGAAACCUUCACAUGUCCGACCUCCUGAAUGGUGCCGGAGCCUGAAAAGGUGAACCCACUGGUAUCAUCAGGAGGAGAGGAUGGAGGCCAUGUUCCAGCAGGAACGGUCUGACAAGGGUACAUUGGAUCUGGACGGACUCUAGCAGGAUUACUGGAGAACAGGAGUCUGCAGCCCUACACACCAGGAUACGAGGAGCAGAGGAUGAAGUGGAUUUAUUGAAGCUCUGAAGGUUUACAUAUCAGAAACUCACUGGUAAGUUUCAAUUACUGGCUCCUGAGCUUUAGAUCUAUACAGUAUACUAGAAAAGAUACUUUCCAAGACCUGUGCUUCGUAUGCCAGUCUUAAACCUGAUGUAAAUUUUAGCUGCAACUAAUGCCUGUUCCGCAAGCAUGUCUUGGGGUGCUUUACCAGUUUUCAGCCUAUGGCUGCCAGAGCCGGCUGGGGGAGGGGAAAACCGUGCACUCCUGGACCAGCGCUGAAAUCCAAUGACUUU